UUUUAUUUGUGUAAAAAGUGGAUGUGUAAGAAGCUAACAUAAUGAAACACCAAAAUGAUCAAGCAACAACACCAACAAAAAUACAACAUUUGUGAAAACAAGGCAGGACGCAUGGUGAAAAAUCCCAGACGGAGAGAAGAAAACCAACUCUCCAUCACUCACAUUUCUGGAGGCCUUGAAGGAAAGCAGGAUGUAUUUUCCAUAUUUAAAAUAAUGUGGUGUCAAAGACUUCCAUCAUAAAUAUGGUGCCUGUAUUUCCAGCAUUCCACAUACAAGUGAGAUCAUACGGAAUUCGUCAUUCUCUGUCUGACUUAUUUCACUUAGCAUAAUGCCCCCAAGGUCAGCCC